rnacentral:rRNA from 1 species
UACGAAGGGGGCUAGCGUUGCUCGGAAUUACUGGGCGUAAAGGGCGCGUAGGCGGCACUGUUAGUCAGGCGUGAAAUUCCUGGGCUCAACCUGGGGGCUGCGUUUGAUACGUGCGGACUUGAGUGCGGAAGAGGGUCGUGGAAUUCCCAGUGUAGAGGUGAAAUUCGUAGAUAUUGGGAAGAACACCGAUGGCGAAGGCGGCGACCUGGUCCGAUACUGACGCUGAGGCGCGAAAGCGUGGGGAGCAAACAGG